CCCCUGACCUUUUAUACAGAGGAGUACAGUCUAGUUAUUAAUAUGGAUCAUUUUUCUUCUUCUUCCUUAGGAAAAAAAAAAAAAAAGAAAGAAGCAAAAGAAGAAGAAAAAAAGAUCUGGUGCAAAGUGUGUCUUGCCAACCAUGCUGCAACAAGUAGAUCUGGCAUUUUCUACACGGAGUGUUAUGCCUAUCUCAUUUGAGAACCACCACUUUAGGAUAGAGGGAAUGUUUGUUCUGGCUUAAGGAGAAACAAACAGCUUCCAGAGGAAAACACCUAAAUGGAAGAGGCUACAUGGAGAUGUCUGUGUGUGAGCUAGGAGCAAAAGUUCACAUUAUCAUCCAUGGAAAGCUGCAGUUAACAGAGUUUAGAGAGUGAUUUAACAGAAAGAACAGUGUGGGUGAGAUUCACUUUGCUAAACUUAGAAGUCUAGUAGUGUUUGAAACACUUUGGGAUAUGUGAGAUAUCCAUGCAGGGCUGCCAAAUUUCGUACACAAGCUAAGUGGUUCCCAUGCCUUCAUAUAGUGCCAGUUGGAAAGCAAGUGAGAUUCCCUAGGGGAUAUCAUACAGACACUAGGUGUCUAGUUAUGGCCAGCUGAAUGUCUCUAGAAAUUUCCUCUUUAGGGGGAACUGCACUGCUGUCUGCAUUCCGCUGAUGUGUUAACCAGCUCUGCAUUUAUUGCAAUGAAAGCUGCAAAUCUGGCACACACAUUGACAUCAAACUUAAGUAUUUGAUCUGCAAGCUGGAAUUUUACCUUAUUUUAUUGCCACUCCUAUUUAGAUGUGGCAUCAUGACACAUUGAUCAUUAGGGAAUUAUCAUUAUGAAAACUUCCUCUCUCACUUAAUUAAUGCAUUUUCUUUCUCUUUUUUUUUUUUUUUUUUUUUUUUUUUUGUAAGCCAGGAGAUGCACAAGUUAGGGGGGGGAGGGAGUGGGAUAGAAAAAUAUGUAAGGAAAACAGAUGCAAAAUAAGGAGCAGAGGUGAAAAUGCAUUGAAAUAAAAUAUGCCAACAGGAAAAAAAAGACA
rnacentral:lncRNA from 1 species